rnacentral:lncRNA from 1 species
AUAAAUACACAUAAAUUUGUAUUUUGAUCGGCAAGAGACGUCGGAGACCAUAUAUGUUUUCACACAAUAAUCAACAGGAAGAACCAUAUUAAUCUUGGAUGAUGCAAUUAAAUAAGAAAAAUGCUUAAAAUUACUAAAUAUAACUACAAAUAGUAAUAAAUAAUUAAAUUAAAAAUUAAUCAAAAAUGAUAUGUGAUAUCAAUAUACAAAGAAGAGAAAGAAAAAAAACCCAAAAAACUAAAGAUUAUAUUACAAAACAAAAUGUAAAACACAUAAAGUUAUACGUAAGUCUUAUAUUAAUUCAGUAUAACUACAUGAAUAAUUUCAUAUGCACAAUAAAUCUAUUAUUUAGUUCAAAAAAAGUAAAAUAAAUCUAUUACACUUAAUAAAACUCUAAUUAUAUAGGAAUCAAGAAGACAACAUAGAAGACCAAGACAACAUAGAAAACCAGCGUCGUUAACAAACAAAAAAAAAAUCUUCUUCUUUACUGUUGUAAAUAUUCUUCUAUGUAUUAGCUUGAUCAAUGAAGAAUUAUUUAAAUAAAUAAGAAUCAAAUGAAAGCAAAAGUUUUUAGGGAAAAUUGUUUUUAGAGCAAACAAAUGAUAACUAUGUCCUUUUAGACUAAUAUUUAUUUUGUGUCAUUUUU